rnacentral:rRNA from 1 species
CCUACGGGCGGCAGCAGUAGGGAAUCUUCCACAAUGGGCGAAAGCCUGAUGGAGCAACGCCGCGUGGGUGAAGAAGGUCUUCGGAUCGUAAAACCCUGUUGUUAGAGAAGAAAGUGCGUGAGAGUAACUGUUCACGUUUCGACGGUAUCUAACCAGAAAGCCCCGGCUAACUACGUGCCAGCAGCCGCGGUAAUACGGAGGUGGCAAGCGUUAUCCGGAUUUAUUGGGCGUAAAGGGAACGCAGGCGGUCUGUUAAGUCUGAUGUGAAAGCCUUCGGCUUAACCGGAGUAGUGCAUUGGAAACUGGGAGACUGGAGUGCAGAAGAGGAGAGUGGAACUCCAUGUGUAGCGGUGAAAUGCGUAGAUAUAUGGAAGAACACCAGUGGCGAAAGCGGCUCUCUGGUCUGUAACUGACGCUGAGGUUCGAAAGCGUGGGUAGCAAACAGGAUUAGAUACCCCGGUAGUC